rnacentral:rRNA from 1 species
UACGUAGGGUGCGAGCGUUAAUCGGAAUUACUGGGCGUAAAGCGUGCGCAGGCGGUUCGUUAAGUCAGAUGUGAAAGCCCCGGGCUCAACCUGGGAACUGCAUUUGAAACUGGCGGGCUUGAGUAUGGCAGAGGGGGGUGGAAUUCCGCGUGUAGCAGUGAAAUGCGUAGAGAUCCGGAAGAACACCGGAGGCGAAGGCGGCUUGCUGGGCUCGGUCUGACGCUGAGGCGCGAAAGCGUGGGGAGCGAACAGG